ncrna:unclassified sequences Glutamine-II riboswitch (downstream peptide RNA)
AGCCGUUCACCCUGGUUCAGGGCGCAGUGGUUCUCAGGUCAAGGAACGGGGACCUGUU